GAGUUAGGGUCUUGCUCUGUCAUCCAGGCUAAAGCACAGUGGUGUCAUCUCAGCUCACUGCAGCCUCAACCUCCCAGGCUCAACAGAUCCUCCCACCCAGCCUCCUGAGUAGCUAGGACUGCGGGGGCACACCACCACGCCUGGCUAAUUUUAUUUUUUUGCAGAGGCAAGGUCUCACUAUGUUGGCCAGGCUGGUCUCAAACUCCUGGACUCAAGCAAUCUUCCCACUUUGGCCUCCUAAAGGCUGAGAUAACAGGCAUGAGGCAGGAGAAUUGUUUGAAUCUGGGAGGCGGAGGUUGCAGUGAGCUGAGAUUGUGCCACUGCAUUCCAGCCUGGGUGACAGAGCGAGACUCCAUCUCAAAAAACAAACAAAAAAACUGGCUUUAAAAAAAAAAAAAAUCUGUAAGGGUGGGGGGAGGGUCUCCAGAAAAGAAUAAAAUUUUUAAAAAUUGGCUUUAUAUAAUGUCUGACUAUACUUUUAUUCUAAAAACUCUGUGACAUAAGGCUGGUAAACAGAAAGAAAAAUCCAACAAGGACUUACUUGACCGUAGGACAUAUUAAGAUGUUUAUUAUUUACUAAGAGUAACAUGUAUACAUUUGCAGUAAUUUGUACAAUCCAACUACAUUACAAUUCACAGUAACAUACACUAGCUCUAACCUGCCUUGGAUACAAUUAAGUCUCCUCAACACACUAUUUUAUCGCCAAACUUACAUUCUGGCUUUUAUAAUCAUUUUGCAACACCUGGUACAGUAUACACCUAUAGCUUUGCCAUAGAAAUGCCCCUAAAUGCCCUUCAGAGAGCAGAGGUGAAUACUUUCUCAUGAAGAAACGCCAACUUUUCUAAGCGAGUUCGUUUCAGUAGUGGGAGCCAUUCCCAGUAGGAUAACUCUACCACACGGUAGCCAAGCCGAGCCAGCUGCCGCCUCUUCAUAUUGUGCAGUCCAAGGAGAUCCCUGGAGCCAUAGCAAUACUGGUUCCUGUUUGUGAACUGAACAGCCAGCUUCAUUCUUGGGGUCUGCAUGCAGGCUGCGGGGCACAGGCCAGCCAUCUCCAUGGCCCCUGAUUUAUCUGCUACAUUGCAAAGGAAGCCCCCCAGAGGUACAGCUGCCUUAUUCUCCAACUCCAUGGGCUGCUGCCCAGGCUCUGACUCAGUUUUGCCCUGGAAAUGUCCUCUUGCUUUCCCUUUUAGUAACUUAUUCAUCAAAUCAUCUGUAAGGCUGACUCCCACAUGCUCAAGCCUUAAUUUGGCUACAUUUUCAGCCGGCGUGGCUUCUCUAUUAAAUGGUAAUGGCUUCAGGUUAACAUCAAGCUGGACCUCUAAGUCAGAAGAUCGGGUAUGAGGCAAAAUCAUAUGGUGCUUGACGUACUGGGGCCCCCCCAGCAUGGUCUCCAGUAAAAAGACAGUUUCUAAGAAUUCAGGCUUUGAAUUCAUAUCCUUCUCUGCUAAAUACCACAGCAAUUCAGACCCCUCUUGCUGAAGGUGAGUACUAAGACGAUUGCCUCUGUAAUCUGGACACUCAAUGCCAACUGUACCAUCGAGGGUAUAUAGUUCCUUAAGGAGGUCAAACUUAGUUCUCUCCUGAGCUAACCUGACAAACCCUGGACUGAGAGCGAAAUCAAUUAACUCUACUGGAAAGUACUCCAAAAAUGCCAGGCCCAGCAGGCAGGUGGGCAGGUGUUCUGGGUACUGGUUGAAUUCAGGCAUCUUUCUGUGAAUCUCACUUAUCAGGCUGGAGUAAAAUUCUUCUGCAUUGGGUGGCUUAUAAUUCAGAGUUCCAAAUGACCACAGAAUCUUGGCAACAUCUUUACUUCGACAGUGUGCCACUCUAGGAGGCAAAGACGCAGCCACUGCAUUCAUUACUCCUUCAUUCAGGAAGCGUA
rnacentral:lncRNA from 1 species